rnacentral:rRNA from 1 species
UACGUAGGGGGCUAGCGUUGUCCGGAAUCAUUGGGCGUAAAGCGCGUGUAGGCGGUCCGGUAAGUCCGCUGUGAAAGUCGGGGGCUCAACCCUCGAAUGCCGGUGGAUACUGUCGGGCUAGAGUGCGGAAGAGGCGAGUGGAAUUCCUGGUGUAGCGGUGAAAUGCGUAGAGAUGUGGAGGAACACCGAUGGCGAAGGCAGCCCCCUGGGCUAACACUGACGCUCAUGCACGAAAGCGUGGGGAGCAAACAGG